rnacentral:lncRNA from 1 species
CUGGAUUAAUAAAAUAGUGCUUCGGGCAGUGAAAGAGCAAAGCUUGUAUAAGUUUCAGCGAUAUGUGCCUAUACAUUAGAUAUAUCGAUGAUAUACUUGUAUGUUGGGGAGAUAAUCAGCGGUUGGAGGAUUUUGCGAGCGAACUAACAAUGCAGCAAUAUGGUUUGUCAUUGAAAAGAGACCAAUGAAGUGAUCAAUCUGUGCAUUUUCUAGAAUCAAGAUAGAUUUAGUGGAAGGAAGGCUAAAAACCAGUGUCUACCGUAAGCCAACCUAUGAAGCUGUUCCUAUACCUAGAUGAUCGAAUGACCCAAGUAGUUACAAUCUGUCGGCUUUUGGAAGUUUUACAGAAGAGCUUUGAAUUAUUAUUGCACUAAUAAUGAAGACCUAAUGGCGGAAUUAAGAUACAUUUCAGAAGUGGGUAAGAAGCACGGGUAUAGCAAUAGAUAUCUUACGAAAAUCUUGGAGCAGGUUAAAAGUAUGGGCACUUUAAGAGAAUGUAAUGAAGAGGGAGUGGAGUACUUGCCAAUACCCUACCACCUCAGGGACCUUAGGGUUGUGCGUAAAGUAGGGAAAAGGAGUAGGAAGAGGCUUAUGUUUGAAAGAAAUCCGACGGUUUUCGAGGUUUUACGGAAUGAGAAGGACCCAUUGGGGCAAUAUGAGAAAAGAGGCC